UGCCCCGUGGCUGAGUUGGUUACAGCGUCCGACUGUUACCGGAUCUGUAGUGAUUCAGACAUCGGAAGGUCGUGAGUUCGAGCCUCACCGGGGCAG